GAUGAACGCUGGCGGCGUGCCUAAUACAUGCAAGUCGAGCGAACAGACGAGGAGCUUGCUCCUCUGACGUUAGCGGCGGACGGGUGAGUAACACGUGGAUAACCUACCUAUAAGACUGGGAUAACUUCGGGAAACCGGAGCUACUACCGGAUAAUAUAUUGAACCGCAUGGUUCAAUAGUGAAAGACGGUUUUGCUGUCACUUAUAGAUGGAUCCGCGCCGCAUUAGCUAGUUGGUAAGGUAGCGGCUUACCAAGGCAACGAUGCGUAGCCGACCUGAGAGGGUGAUCGGCCACACUGGAACUGAGACACGGUCCAGACUCCUACGGGAGGCAGCAGUAGGGAAUCUUCCGCAAUGGGCGAAAGCCUGACGGAGCAACGCCGCGUGAGUGAUGAAGGUCUUCGGAUCGUAAAACUCUGUUAUUAGGGAAGAACAAAUGUGUAAGUAACUAUGCACGUCUUGACGGUACCUAAUCAGAAAGCCACGGCUAACUACGUG
rnacentral:rRNA from 1 species